AAAAUCCGUGUCCCACAUAUCCUGAGAGGUGAUGCGUAGCCGUAGCGGCGAAAUCCAUGAUCCUAUGCUGCCGAGAAAAGCCUCUAGCGAGCUGGUACAUGGCCCGUACCCCAAACCGACACAGGUGGUCAGGUAGAGAAUACUAAGGCGAUCGAGAGAACUGUGGUUAAGGAACUCGGCAAAAUGCCCCCGUAACUUCGGGAGAAGGGGGACCAGUCCUGGUGACGACAUUUACUGUCUGAGCUGGGGUUGGUCGCAGAGACCAGAGAGAAGCGACUGUUUACUAAAAACACAGGUCCGUGCGAAGUCGUAAGACGAUGUACACGGACUGACGCCUGCCCGGUGCUGGAAGGUUAAGAGGACCGGUCAGCCACUUCGGUGGCGAAGCUGAGAAUUUAAGCCCCAGUAAACGGCGGUGGUAACUAUAACCAUCCUAAGGUAGCGAAAUUCCUUGUCGGGUAAGUUCCGACCUGCACGAAUGGCGUAACGACUUCUCUGCUGUCUCAACCACAGACUCGCCGAAAUUGCAGUACGAGUAAAGAUGCUCGUUACGCGCGGCAGGACGAAAAGACCCCGGGACCUUCACUAUAGCUUGGUAUUGGUGUUCGGUUCGGUUUGUGUAGGAUAGGUGGGAGACUGUGAAACUCGCACGCCAGUGUGGGUGGAGUCAUUGUUGAAAUACCACUCUGACCGUAUUGGACAUCUAACCUCGGACCAUGAUCUGGUUCAGGGACAGUGCCUGGUGGGUAGUUUAACUGGGGCGGUUGCCUCCUAAAAAGUAACGGAGGCGCCCAAAGGUUCCCUCAGCCUGGUUGGCAAUCAGGUGUUGAGUGUAAGUGCACAAGGGAGCUUGACUGUGAGACGUACAUGUCGAGCAGGGACGAAAGUCGGGACUAGUGAUCCGGCACCGGCAAGUGGAAGCGGUGUCGCUCAACGGAUAAAAGGUACCCCGGGGAUAACAGGCUGAUCUUCCCCAGGAGUCCAUAUCGACGGGAUGGUUUGGCACCUCGAUGUCGGCUCGUCGCAUCCUGGGGCUGGAGUAGGUCCCAAGGGUUGGGCUGUUCGCCCAUUAAAGCGGCACGCGAGCUGGGUUUAGAACGUCGUGAGGCAGUUCGGUCUCUAUCCGCCGCGCGCGUAAGAAACUUGAGGAAACCUGUCCCUAGUACGAGAGGACCGGGACGGACGAACCUCUGGUGUGCCAGUUGUUCCACCAGGAGCACCGCUGGUUAGCUACGUUCGGAAGGGAUAACCGCUGAAAGCAUCUAAGCGGGAAGCCUGUUCCAAGAUGAGGUUUCUCACCACCUA
rnacentral:rRNA from 1 species